GACAUCAAAUAUAUUCUGGCCGAGUGGUCUAAGGCGCCAGGUUCAGGUCCUGGUCUCUCCGGAGGCGAGAGUUCGAAUCUCUCGGAUGUCA
rnacentral:tRNA from 1 species